UUAGAGGAAGUAAAAGUCGUAACAAGGUCUCCGUAGGUGAACCUGCGGAGGGAUCAUUACACAAAUAUGAAGGCGGGCUGGAACCUCUCGGGGUUACAGCCUUGCUGAAUUAUUCACCCUUGUCUUUUGCGUACUUCUUGUUUCCUUGGUGGGUUCGCCCACCACUAGGACAAACAUAAACCUUUUGUAAUUGCAAUCAGCGUCAGUAACAAAUUAAUAAUUACAACUUUCAACAACGGAUCUCUUGGUUCUGGCAUCGAUGAAGAACGCAGCGAAAUGCGAUAAGUAGUGUGAAUUGCAGAAUUCAGUGAAUCAUCGAAUCUUUGAACGCACAUUGCGCCCUUUGGUAUUCCAAAGGGCAUGCCUGUUCGAGCGUCAUUUGUACCCUCAAGCUUUGCUUGGUGUUGGGCGUCUUGUCUCUAGCUUUGCUGGAGACUCGCCUUAAAGUAAUUGGCAGCCGGCCUACUGGUUUCGGAGCGCAGCACAAGUCGCACUCUCUAUCAGCAAAGGUCUAGCAUCCAUUAAGCCUUUUUUUCAACUUUUGACCUCGGAUCAGGUAGGGAUACCCGCUGAACUUAAGCAU
rnacentral:rRNA from 1 species